rnacentral:rRNA from 1 species
CACGUAGGGGCCGAGCGUUGUCCGGAGUUACUGGGCGUAAAGCGCGCGCAGGCGGUCUCGUGCAUCGGUGGUGAAAGCCCCGGGCUCAACCCGGGAGGGUCCAUCGAGAUGGCGAGACUGGAGGCAGGGCGAGGGCGGUGGAAUUCCGGGUGUAGUGGUGAAAUGCGUAGAGAUCCGGAGGAACACCAGUGGCGAAGGCGGCCGCCUGGACCUGUCCUGACGCUGAGGCGCGAAGGCGUGGGGAGCGAACGGG